UCCCUGGUGGCUCAGAGGUUAAAGCGUCUGCCUCCAAUGCAGGAGACCUAGGUUCAAUCCCUGGGUCGGGAA
rnacentral:tRNA from 1 species